rnacentral:lncRNA from 1 species
GGACCCAGGAUUUCAGUUGCCAAGCCAGAGAGCAGGGGACCCAGGAAAGAAUAUUGGCAUUCAUUUGAUUUUUCCAUCUUCUGAUAUAACCUUCAAAUGUUAAUAGUGUGUCGAAGAAUUUAUUGGAAAUGAGAAACAAGAAAACAGUGAGUCUAACCUAGUCAUUCUAGAAUUGGGAGGUAAUAGAAAAGAGAGAAAUGGGAAAGUUGCUCAAAUGCAAGUCCAGUGAAUCAGAGAGAAAAGGCUCAAAGCAGCAGAACAAAGCUUCAAUAAAGAGAUAUUGUGACUUGGAGAGAUGGCCUUUUGUCCUUUGUUCUAUUACCAGUCAGAGGAUGGGGAGCACACCCGAGCCUGAGACAACAGCUCUGCUAAGUGCCCUUGAGAGGGCACGGUGGGGUCAGCACCAAAGUCAGACCACUAAAGAGAAAAAGAGAGAAAGACAGGAUUGCAGAGGAGAAAUGAGAAUGGCAGAAAAAAUAAUUUUUUAAGCCAAAAGGAAUCAGAGAAGAGCAGAAGUGCCUCUAGGAUAAAGCGUAGCAGGCAGUUAGGGAAAAAGGGCUGUUAACUACCUUGAAGCUCUGACUACAUUAGAAAGCCUCGCAAGACAGUCGUUGCUUGCACGGGCAGGUAGAGAACUUUUCCUGUCCAUUGUUCUUCUGAAUUAUAAAUCACUGACCUCUUUAUGAUUUCUAAAGGGAAAAUGACUUCAAGCUUCUUAGAGUUCCCCUAAGGCAUUCUCUAUAUUCAAUAUAAUAUGGGAAGCCCUGGGUUUGUCUUUGUAUGUUUCAUCUGCAGUGACCUGAAAUCUUCAUAACCCUCUUCCUUUCUCCACUUAUCAACUAAGGGGUGGUUGGCAAUAAGGAUGGGUGGGAGAGAAAAAAAAACAGAAUUUGAGGAGGAGAGCAUUUAAACCAUCAGACUGUGUGUUCUGUGACAUCAAAGACUGGCAACAUUCUAAAGGAAAAGCAGCUGUGAAGUCAUAAUUAUGUUCACUUCCCACUGGCAACUGGCAAGCCCUUUAUUUUUGUGCAUUCGGAACUCACCAAGAAUAAAUAAAGUCCAUUCCCUCCUUGAGGGGCUAUUCUGCCAUUCCAUCUAGGAUUUAAAAGUUUGCCAAUUCCUAAAACAUCUAUUGUUAUCAAUAGUCUUGUGUCUUUCACAAAGCGGACUUUACAAAAUAAGUUAACAGGCCAUGAGAGGAACAGUCACACAUACCAAGAAAGGUACAUACGGAGAUAAUUCCAAUCAAAGUGAGCACAGCCUACGCAUAAACAGGAUGAUGGGUCAAAUAAAACAACUCUACUCCAUUCUGUAAGAGAUUCAGG